rnacentral:rRNA from 1 species
AGCGAACGCUGGCGGCAGGCCUAACACAUGCAAGUCGAACGAACCUUUCGGGGUUAGUGGCGGACGGGUGAGUAACACGUGGGAACGUGCCUUUAGGUUCGGAAUAACUCAGGGAAACUUGUGCUAAUACCGAAUGUGCCCUUCGGGGGAAAGAUUAAUCGCCUUUAGAGCGGCCCGCGUCUGAUUAGCUAGUUGGUUGAGGUAAUGGCUCACCAAGGCGACGAUCAGUAGCUGGUCUGAGAGGAUGAUCAGCCACAUUGGGACUGAGACACGGCCCAAACUCCUACGGGAGGCAGCAGUGGGGAAUCUUGCGCAAUGGGCGAAAGCCUGACGCAGCCAUGCCGCGUGAAUGAUGAAGGUCUUAGGAUUGUAAAAUUCUUUCACCGGGGACGAUAAUGACGGUACCCGGAGAAGAAGCCCCGGCUAACUUCGG